GCGGGGAUAGCUCAGUUGGGAGAGCGUCAGACUGAAGUACAACUUCAAUCAUGACAUCUGAAGGUCGUGCGUUCGAUCCGCACUCACCGCA
rnacentral:tRNA from 1 species